CAAAAAAGCCGGAAUAGCUCAGUUGGUAGAGCAGAGGACUGAAAAUC
rnacentral:tRNA from 1 species